UUGCCAGACUCCUACGGGAGGCAGCAGUGGGGAAUAUUGGGCAAUGGAGGAAACUCUGACCCAGCAACGCCGCGUGAAGGAUGAAGGUUUUCGGAUUGUAAACUUCUGUUGCGAGGGAUGAAGAAUGACGGUACCUCGUGAGGAAGCCCCGGCAAACUACGUGCCAGCAGCCGCGGUAAUACGUAGGGGGCAAGCGUUGUCCGGAAUGACUGGGCGUAAAGGGAGCGUAGACGGCGAGGUAAGCCUGAAGUGGAAGCCCGCGGCCCAACCGCGGAACUGCUUUGGGAACUGUUUUGCUGGAGUAUGGGAGGGGUAAGCGGAAUUCCUGGUGUAGCGGUGAAAUGCGUAGAUAUCAGGAGGAACACCGGUGGCGAAGGCGGCUUACUGGACCAUAACUGACGUUGAGGCUCGAAAGCGUGGGGAGCGAACAGGAUUAGAUACCCUAGUA
rnacentral:rRNA from 1 species